rnacentral:rRNA from 1 species
UUGAGCCCCGGGCUUUCACAUCUGACUUAACAAACCACCUGCAUGCGCUUUACGCCCAGUAAUUCCGAUUAACGCUCGCACCCUCCGUAUUACCGCGGCUGCUGGCACGGAGUUAGCCGGUGCUUCUUCUGUCGCUAACGUCAAGCAACGCCGCUAUUAACGACGCCGCCUUCCUCACGACUGAAAGUACUUUACAACCCGAAGGCCUUCUUCAUACACGCGGCAUGGCUGCAUCAGGCUUGCGCCCAUUGUGCAAUAUUCCCCACUGCUGCCUCCCGUAGGAGUCUGGACCGUGUCUCAGUUCCAGUGUGGCUGAUCAUCCUCUCAGACCAGCUAGGGAUCGUUGCCUUGGUGAGCCCUUACCUCACCAACUAGCUAAUCCCACCUAGGCAUAUCCUGACGCGAGAGGCCCGAAGGUCCCCCUCUUUGGCCCGUAGGCAUCAUGCGGUAUUAGCCAUCGUUUCCAAUGGUUAUCCCCCACAUCAGGGCAAUUUCCUAGGCCUUACUCACCCGUCCGCCGCUCGACGCCGUUAUCGUUCCCCGAAGGUUCAGAUAACUCGUUUCCGCUCGACUUGCAUGUGUUAGGCCUGCCGCCAGCGUUCAAUCUGAGCCAGGAUCAAACUCU